rnacentral:ncRNA from 1 species
CUGUCGGGUUUGGCAGCCUUUCGUCGUAAGUCGGAUUGCAAACCAGGCUAAUUCGGGGGACUCCAGAAGUUUGUAAGGUUUCUGGAUUAUCCCGAGCUAAAUGAUGUGCUAAUCGGCGCGUCUAAAUGUGUAGAGACUAUAUACCUGGCUCCCGGUUGACGGGAUGAUGAGAUAGUCCAAGCCUUUUGGUAACAGAAGG